UGGAAAAGAAAAAUAACAACAAAUGAUUAAAAUCACGAAGCUAUUAUACAAGUCCAGUUUUAAUUGAACGGAAACCUCGGAACUUUGUGUGAUGUGAACUUGAUACAUGACCUUGUCAAUUGAGUAUAGCUGCAAUAUUAACGUUACAGUUUCACUUCCAAGCUCAUCGUAAUGCCCCUCUUUAACGAUUUCAAUGACACCGGUAGGAAUAAUUUAUGGUUUGUAAUUUCAGUAGGUACAUCAUCUGCUACCGGGUAUUUCAAGCUGUAAUCAUUAUGCCCUUAGAAUCCAAUCUACGUUUAUUUCCGGGUAUACGUAUACAUCAAACGAAGUGGAAGAGCUUUAGAUUUCAAAAGUUCGGAUGUUAGUACCCAAGUGUUGGGAAAAAAUGUCUCUAAUCUUCCUCUUCAAUAUGUAGAUUCCGAAAGAGUCAUUGAUUCGAAAAACUAAACAGGUAAAUCUGCAUAGGUAACGCGGUGUAUGACCAAUAUCCGUGCGAUUAUCCUUAUGCAAAACCACGAAUAUUGACAUUUUACAAAUGAGCUCAUCACUAAAAUAUCCCAGUCACGCGAAUAUAUAUAAACGCCGUAUAAAAUAACGACGAGAAAUUUUAUUGCAAUGUCCUUAUAAAAAUAAUGAAUUACAAUGCGAAUGUGUUUCUCCUAAUACAAAUUUAGUUUCUCUCGUUUUUUUUUCUAUAAUAUUUUUUUUUCCAUUCAUACUAUGAUUCACCGACCAAUGCGGGAUGAAUAGAGCAGUGAUAAGCGUGGCUAUGAGCUUUAAACGUUCUAGAGCCUGGAACCAUCAGUAGCAAACACAAUUUAUAAAUCGUCGUAAAGAGCCACAUCCACUGACCUUGCUUCAUCCCACAGGCAAAAACCGCGCGAACAUAAUUUCGCUGGGCAAACUUAAAUUAGUAAGUACGUAGUUUGUUGUAUAGGUAUAUCAGUAAUAAGGUGGGCGCACAACGGCAGCAAUUAUAGCAACCAGUCGUUAAUUAAAUAUUACUCAUAAAAUCAUCUGGACCAGGUCAUUAAUUCUCACGUUUACGUAACAUAUUACACAAUAAAUGACGUAUAAUUAUCGAUAUAGUAUGAGUUAUUAGUUAGCCGAUAUGUAAUUUGUCGGAUAUAAUUGUUGUUUUAUGGGUAUCAUAUAACACUUUGGUGAACAAUAUAUUUAUGGUGAUACUAUUCCUUAUUUUUUAUUUUUUUAAUAGCUGAAGCAAAAAAUGAGUGAAGACAAAUUUUUGAGAAUCGACCGUGCACAUUUGAAUUGCGAAUAUACUAUUCAGUAGAGUGCAGUAAACUGUAAGUGACAACCACCUGGUCGACGUACGCCGAUGAUUGGUUCUGAUUAGAUAAAAAAAAUAAAAUAAAAUACGAAGACUCUCACGACUGCAUUCAAUUACAGAAUUGUCAUCGAUUAGAACAUCUCUCGUUUCUUAUUCCUUUCCCUCGGUUAAAAAUGCUACCAAUAUGUAAGGAAUUCGUGUGAUUGCUAUAUCUGGAUGCGAAAGGGGUUGAAUACGUCUAUUUGCAUCGGUUGAAUGCCUGUAUAGAAAAUUUAUCACGAGUAGCAUACUACAUGUAAAGUAUAAGAUGGACACAUCGCGACACGUGAUAAUAUUAUCAACCGUAUCAAACGUUGAUAGCGAAAAACAUGUAAAGGUUUUAUUUACCCCGUAUAUUGUAAAUCAAUCUAACAACGUGCAACGAGCGUUAUCUAUAAUAAAUAAGUAUAUACAUAUGUGUGAAAUAAUAUUUUUCAUCAGCAGAAUGUGAGACAUACUUUUCUCAUAAGGCAUUCUUCACAUCUAUAUAUUAUUAUUUCUUCUUUUUUUGUCAUCGAAAUACCACCUAGAGAGAUCAAUUUUGAAAACCAUGCAUAUUUGUUUUCAUGAUUGUGACCAAAAUUUCGAUAAUUAACGUACAAUAUACUCAUUAUCUAAUUGAAAUGCGAUGCCUGAGCUAUCGGCAAACAAAUUAAACAAGAAUUCGUGAAGACGAUUAUUUUCGAUUUCUUUUUUUCUCUCUCUAUCCCGCCGCAUGUGAAUCAUAUUUACGUGUUAAUGAAUGUAUACGUACUAUAGUUCAAUAUAUCGAAUGGACGUUUGGUCAUAGAAUGAUGACACAAUACGACAUACCCACUAUACAUAUAUGUAUAAUUUAUUCAAAAUCUCUGUAAUAUACAAUUGUAAAUUCGUAUAUUAUCAGAUGACUGUAAUAGUUGAACGUUUAAAAAUAUUUUUGUAUUACAAUAAUCCGUAGUGGGUGGGUAUGUAUGAAUCGUGCAGCAGAUACGAUCAUCGCGUAUACUCCGAGUGUACACGCCACUUCCGAUGCUAUUGGUAAAUCUAUGGCACGACAUACCUAUAAUAGGUAGAGAUAUGACGAGUGUGUAUAAUGAAACAGCUGCCUUCGAUGCAUGAUGCAAAUUUCAUCGACAUUAUCUUAUGGCAUUCCGAUUUUUUGGAAAAUGUGCAGACACCUGCCGAAGAUUGAAAAAGAAAAAGAAAAAAAAAAAACCGAUACAACGAUCGAUGAAUCAGGCAACUGAAGAUCUGAUUCCAAUUAUACUAUAAAUAAAAUCUAGGUAAGUAAGUAUUAUUGGUAUGACUUUGACGUGAUACGUAAUAUGACAUAAUGUGGUAAAUAUGUAUUUUUAGAUCAUCGUUGUGUGCACAUAGAAUAUAUUCUAAAAAUAAACCCAUGGAAUAUGUGACCCGUU